rnacentral:rRNA from 1 species
GAUGAACGCUGGCGGCGUGCCUAAUACAUGCAAGUCGAGCGAACGGACGAGAAGCUUGCUUUUCUGAUGUUAGCGGCGGCCGGGUGAGUAACACGUGGAUAACCUACCUAUAAGACUGGGAUAACUUCGGGAAACCGGAGCUAAUACCGGAUAAUAUUUUGAACCGCAUGGUUCAAAAGUGAAAGACGGUCUUGCUGUCACUUAUAGAUGGAUCCGCGCUGCAUUAGCUAGUUGGUAAGGUAACGGCUUACCAAGGCAACGAUGCAUAGCCGACCUGAGAGGGUGGUCGGCCACACUGGAACGGAGACACGGUCCAGACUCCUACGGGAGGCAGCAGUAGGGAAUCUUCCGCAAUGGGCGAAAGCCUGACGGAGCAACGCCGCGUGAGUGAUGAAGGUCUUCGGAUCGUAAAACUCUGUUAUUAGGGAAGAACAUAUGUGUAAGUAACUGUGCACAUCUUGACGGUACCUAAUCAGAAAGCCACGGCUAACUACGUG